rnacentral:rRNA from 1 species
GAUGAACGCUGGCGGCGUGCCUAAUACAUGCAAGUCGAGCGAACAGACGAGGAGCUUGCUCCUCUGACGUUAACGGCGGACGGGUGAGUAACACGUGGAUAACCUACCUAUAAGACUGGGAUAACUUCGGGAAACCGGAGCUAAUACCGGAUAAUAUAUUGAACCGCAUGGUUCAAUAGUGAAAGACGGUUUUGCUGUCACUUAUAGAUGGAUCCGCGCCGCAUUAGCUAGUUGGUAAGGUAACGGCUUACCAAGGCAACGAUGCGUAGCCGACCUGAGAGGGUGAUCGGCCACACUGGAACUGAGACACGGUCCAGACUCCUACGGGAGGCAGCAGUAGGGAAUCUUCCGCAAUGGGCGAAAGCUUGACGGAGCAACGCCGCGUGAGUGAUGAAGGUCUUCGGAUCGUAAAACUCUGUUAUUAGGGAAGAACAAAUGUGUAAGUAACUAUGCACGUCUUGACGGUACCUAAACAGAAAGCCACGGCUAACUACGUG